rnacentral:tRNA from 1 species
GCGGGGGGAGCUCGGUUGGUAUCCGAAGCAAUAGAUUGUGAAUCUAAAGGGCAUGGGUUCGAGUCCCAUUUCUCGCC